UGUGUAGAAAGGGGAGCUGUUAAAACAAUAACAACAACAACAACAACACUGACUUAAUGUGCUGAUGACCAGAUAAGCCUACAAGAGUUAAGACGAGAGGAAUGAGCCGACAUCACACGCCACAGUUCCUCUUUAGAGUCAGAUAAAAGCUCUAGCUGAGUGACAGAGAGCUCAGUUUCAUUAUGUUUUGUGUCAAGACGUCUGUGCAGACUCCCAGAGAGGGGUCGAGACAUCGCGUUGUGUCCACGUAACGCGUGCAAACAAUACGGACCUGGAUUUUCGUUUUCUGUUGCAUUGUGACAUCCUGAAAUUGUUUCGCUCCUUCAGCAACAACGCGGAGUCGUCUGGGUUCAUAUUUCACCUGAGAGACAGGCGAGCGGAGUGCAGGAAGUCAGGAGUUCGGUCGUCAUCUUGAGACCAUCUGGGAAGCCAUUAAAGUGAUAAAAGAAACAGCGGCUGCUCGACUUAAAUCAGGCUUCUUGGCAGUUGUUUCCAACAGCUCUCAUCUGCAGGCGGCGUUACCGAGAUCUGAUGCCGGGAUGGCCGAGGCUUGACCCUCAUCUUCUGUUUGUGUUACAAAGGAGGUUCUGGGUCUCCAAGGCGACGAAGCCACGAGGACACGAGCACAACUGCAGCACAACCGGAGAGCCCUCAGCUGAUUUACGAGCUCCACGCUCUGUGUGCGCUGACAUUAUUAUGCAGGCAGCUAGCCGGGUCUCGAGCAGCUCCAUAAAGGUUAUUAGGGCUGCUCCACUAAAUCGCACGCAGCCAUAUGGAGACACUGAGGCCAGAUGAGCUUUUAACUGCCGUGUUGUGGAGACAGUCCCUCAAGGGGAGAGAUGGGCCCGCUCCCGUAAAACUGGUCAGCAAAAUUCAGAACUGAACAAGCAGCUUCACUUUUUCCUCCGCAAGUUUCAAAUCGGAGGCUGAGCUCCAUCGUUUCAUCUGGGUUCCUUCCUUCGCACCUCCGUCUCCGAGGAUCAAAGGACUGGAGGAGAGAGGAAAAAUCAAUACAGGAACUGACUCACCUGUGUUCCCAGGCUCUGUCAAGUAAACUAAUUUUCUUUCCCAUGUAUGUAUUUAUUGGGCGCAGACCCUGUACCUGGGGAGGAUGAAGUGGCAUUCAGUGACUUGAAAGAUUGGUUUUCAGUUGGUUUUAAUUUUCGGCUGGCGCCAUUAAAUAGCACUGAAUUCACAAACCGUACAAGGACGUCUGCGUGUAAAGAUUAGAUCUCCAUAAUUGUUAGAUUUUAACUGCAGCUUCAUUCUUUUGCAGAUCAAUUGAUGCUGAUAUGAUAAGACUAAAAAAAUGCCAUUUCAACAACAACUAAGACAGUAAAUAAUCAAUGUAGUUAAUGAGCCACGUAUGUUGUUUACAUGUCCCACUUGCAUGGUUUUAACUAAGCUGUACGCUGACUGCAGACUUUCUGUGAUUUUGUUCUACAUUAAAAACUAUCUUAAAGUUUACUGACAGGCAUUUUGUCCUUGGGACAGU